UCUCAUAAGGAGCAUGUGACCUAGAUCCC
rnacentral:piRNA from 1 species